GCCAUCGACCGUCCUCAUCUAGCUCACCAUCGCAUGUACCCUUACCGGCGCUCUAGCGACUCGACGGGGCCAGAGCAGGCACAAAGGCGCAAGACAUGGAGCAGCACGGAGGCAGGGCGCCGCCACCAGCCUGCUACUGCGCUGCAUUACGCGAACCAGCUUAUACAGAUCGCAUCUUGAGGAAGACAUCUGUAUUCAACUAUGUCAUCCGCCGGUCCAUGGUUCAUCCCUACGACGACCACAAAGCAUUCGGUGUACCGGCGACCAAAAAGCAAGCUGAGAGACAAAUACUAGUUCUAAAAUAAUAUAUUCGUAAUAAUGUAUGAACUGAUACUCCUGUUUAAUAAAAGGUAUCUACAUAUACAUA